rnacentral:rRNA from 1 species
UACAGAGGUCCCAAGCGUUGUUCGGAUUCACUGGGCGUAAAGGGUGCGUAGGUGGUUGGUUAAGUCUGAUGUGAAAUCUCCGAGCUCAACUCGGAAACGGCAUCGGAAACUGACCGGCUUGAGGAUUGGAGGGGAGACUGGAAUUCUCGGUGUAGCAGUGAAAUGCGUAGAUAUCGAGAGGAACACCAGUGGCGAAGGCGAGUCUCUGGACAAUUCCUGACACUGAGGCACGGAAGCUAGGGGAGCAAACAGG